CACACAUUAAAAGGAAAAGUUUGAUCAUUUUCUCAAGUUCACUCUUCCAAUUGAUUUUGCCCAUAUCUUCUUCUCUUUUUACUUCAUUUGGGCUUCUUUUGGGUUCUCUACGUAUAUAAUUUUGCAAUUCAAUAGCUGUUGUGGGUUAAAUCUGCGAGUGUGAUUUGAAAUUUCAUUGGCUUUAGACAUGUUUUUGGAGAGUAUUCUCUGCAAAUCAGAUAGUUUGAUGAAGUUGGCAUUAAGACCUCAAUAUUUAUGCUGUUUCAUUGGUCCUGAUGAGUUGAGCCCUGAGAUGCUAAUGCUCUAUCAAAAGUUCUAGGCAUGUUUAUCUUCGUUUUCAGGGCCAUUCGGCUGUAUCAGUAGAUGAUACAUAGAAGAUCAUAUCCUGCAGGGAACAACAGAAGAGGCUAGGUGCACUUCAGACGGAACUGGGCAAAACCAGUCAGAAAGGUUUUAUAUCGAAGCAUCUACUGGUUAAAAAUGAGUCGGAUUCAAAGCAAAAGCUUCUAGCUGUUAUAGGUGUCUACAAAUUUUGGCAUCAAGAAAAACAGAGAUGCGAUUCGCAAAAGCAUGGACACCCAUUGGAUACCAUUCUUUAAUGCUCUGAUGGGAGAAGCUGAUUUUGGAUUCAGUGGGUUGACGAACAUCAAAGUACACAGAGAUCUCUCAUCUGUAUGAGAAGUAUAAAAAUUAAAGUGAGCUACAUGCUUUAGGAUUGACACUAGCAUGCCUUCUUUUCUCCCUCCCCUUUUCUGGAUAACUUUUUUUUUUAUUUGUGGCCAGUGAAAUUGUUGAAGCUCUGUAGAUAUCCAGACUCUGUCUGGAAAUUUGGCUUUGAAUGGAGCACAGUAGCUUUCGUGAUUUACAAAAAGGAAACGAAGAAAAGAUCUUUUUUUUUUGUUGGAAUGGAAAUGAAUAUGUUCUUUGUAGAACUUCUUGGAUUCCUGGAUACUAGCAUAUGAGUAGAAUGUAGUGCAGUUGAAAAUGAGUAUGGAGUAUGAGCAAAUCUUGAUUAAUUUGACUUGUUUGAGUGUUGGUUUUUCUUUUUCUCUCUCCUGUGGGAUAUGAGAUAAAAAUUGUAGAAUGAGAAGUAUACAGUGUUUGAUUUAGUUUUGCGUAGUUGAA